CUUGGCCAUUGUCCGCAUCCCCUGGGCCGAGUGGAGCCUCGCGUUGGACCGUGCCGGGCCUGGCCUCCGGAACCCUCUUUGCCCUGGGAGAUGGAUUCAAGGGGCCGGGGGGGCAUCGUGCAGCCCGGUUUAGCCUCUCAUUCUGGUUCAGGGCACCUGGGUGGAUGCCCCACCCCCCUCCCCCGGGGCCGGGGGGACGAGCCAGGCUCCACCGCCGGCUGUUUGUUUCACCAGCAUCCCAAAAGUGGAAAUCAAGGGCGUCCCAGCACCUCUGCUCCAGUGCAGCUUCCCAGUUCUCCCACACCAGUCGGGAGGAAGGACCAGCAUGCACCUGGUGGACCUGCCGCCCUGUGAGCCGGUCACAUCAAACAAAUCAAGGAAUCCAUUUCUUGUUCUUCGCCACUUCAUCCUUAUUGAAUCACCGCGUUAGAAUUGAAAUGAACGCACCAGGGGACAAGGUGAUUUGUAGCAGGGUCUAAUGAAGACAGACGGAGCUGGUUCUGCAGGUGGAGGAAAAAGCUCAACAAGUAUGAAAAUGGAGUUUGACUGAGUAUAUUUCAGGCAUUGUGAUAAAUGGAGUAAAAGAUUUAUAUUAAAAUACAAAACUGAAAAUAUAUACUCUAAUGUCUAAACUUCAGUAAGUUCAGUAGCUGAGUUUAUGUUCCUUCUUCUUUUCUUUACGGCACUGUUGCUGCUGGAGUCGUGUGCGUUUUCAUCUGAGCAAACAUGCGGAAUAAAAAGUGGAAUUAAAUGAGAAUGUCCAGCAAGAACUCAGGACGUUAAACCACUGUCUUUGUGUCCAGAUGUCUGUGAAGUCAGGACUUUGGCUUCUGGUUCGGACGGUCUUUGAACCCCCCCCCCAUCCUGGCCUCCCCUCCCUCCCCCUGCUCCGCCUCUCCUCAUCCUCCAUCCCGAUGACAGCCGUGCUCUCGUGGCAUCUGUCUGCUGCUCCCCAGCUUGUCUGUGUGUGAUCAGCUCCUCUCCAGCUCUCCUCCACACUUUAUCUCCUCGUCUUAGUGCUCCCUUUUUUUUUUUCACAGACUGCCGCUCAGCUGCCUCGCUGCCAACUCACUGUCGCUGUUAACUCACAUACCAUCUUAUGUAUUGCCAAAGCAGAUUGUGUUUGGAGGGCAAGCAAUUAAGGGGGAGGCAAGUGCAAAACUGUAAUGUAAUUUUGGCUGCAAUAUUUACGGGGAGAGAAGGGAUGGAGGGAGGCGGAGGGGGGAGGGGGGGCACAAAAAAGCACAGAGGAGGGCUUAAGCGGGUCGGACAUUGCGGAGUCAACACCGUCGAGAAUAAUGAUUUUGAGCUGAGAUUUAGUGGGACGGAAUCUGGCACUCGCCUAAUUACGAGAGGCCAAAUGUCAAGCCUGCUCGCUGUCAGCUUGGUGGCGGGCGGCGCUGCUUUCCUUUCGUCUCCCCAUCUCCCUCCCUCGCUCUCUCUCGCUCCCUCUCUCCCUUUUUCCGCAAGUUUUCUGCGUGUUUUAUGAAUCUCAUUAAAAGUCAUUAAAAAGUGUGGUGAGAUUUACGCAUCCUCUGCUCCGUUGCCCCGUAGUCUUCUUUCUAUCUGUCACAGAUCUGAGAGAAAAGGGAAAAGCGGCAAAAGAGGAGAGAGAGCGGAGACGCGCGCGCGCGCGCGCGCUCGUGCACGCGCGCAGAGUGGAGUUGAAAAGCAGAAGCGUUUAAGGUAAACAAGAAGAAAAGAAAAAGCUGGAGAACGACGCAGGGCGCAGUGUCUAAGUGGAUUAGGUGGUAAGCCUCGCUGAGCUACCUUUCCUUUUACAGACCCGCAGCAUUAUUGCCACUUUAAAGAAGCGAGCACUCUAAUAUUAUAACAGAAUACGAGAACGCGAACAAACACUUUGUAGCCGGCGUGUUUUUAUUUCUUCAGACAAUCCAGCCUGUUUGGCUAUCAACAUCUUUUGACACGCCGUUCCUUUCAAUCAAGCGCGCGCUGCCUCUGCGGCUCCCAUUUCGCAGCGCCAGAUACGACGACGGGGUCGGAGUCAAGGUCUCUCUGCAUCGCCGAGUGAGAGAGAUUUCGCAUCGCGCUUACAAGGCGCCACAAAGACCCGCUGUUCCGCGCCUCGUUGCCUUGUCUCCGGGGGGCGGGUCGGGUCGGGGUGGCGCGGCCGACCCCUAGGCGCAUUAUUUAAGGCCUCUCUGAGAAGAAUG